rnacentral:lncRNA from 1 species
AUUUAAGGUUAUAAACAUUCCUCCUGACACUGUUUUGGCUGCAUUCCAGAUAUUUUGGUAAGUUGUGUCCCUAUUUUCAUUAAUUUAAUAUAAUGUUCAUUUCUGCAUUAAUUUCAAUGUUCACCAAGAAGUUAUUCAGAAGUUAGUUAUUUAAUUUUCAUGUAUUUGUGUAGUCUUGAGAGAUCGUCAUGUGCUUGGUGUAAUUUCAGUUUUUUUUUUAAGUUAUUGAGACUUGUUUUAUUACCAAGUAUGUGGUUGACUUUGGAAGAUCUUCUGUGUGCAGAUGAGAAGAAUUUAUAUUCUGUGGUUUUUAGGUGAAGUGUUCUAUAGAUGUCUAUUAGGUCCAAUUAGUCAAGUGUUGAUGUUCCAUCAUUUAUUAUUAUUAUUUUGUUUUUUUGAGACGGAGUUUCUCUCUUGUGACCCAGGCUGGAGUGCAAUGGCGCGAUCUCGGCUCACCGCAACCUCCGCCUCCUGGGUUCAGGCAAUUCUGCGUGCCUGUAAUCCCAACUACUCAGGAGGCUGAGGUAGGAGAACUGCCUGAACCCAGGAGGCAGGUGUUGCAGUGAGCCGAGAUCGCGCCAUUGCACUCCAGCCUGGGUAACAACAGCAAAACUCUGUCUCAAAAAAACAAACAAACAAACAAAAUAUUUCCUCCUCCCAGCCAAGGGAGAUGAUGAGUCAGUGUGCAACCCGGCCAAGGAAGCCAUGCUUUUUCCACCGAGCUGUGCAACCCACGGAUUGGAUGAUUUGACUUGUAAGCCCAUGCCACUGGGGUCUAGUGUUCCAACCCCAGAAUGCACAGAUUCUUACAGUCUCUCAGCUGGAAUAUUCUUAAGCUUACUGAACUCCUUGGGGGAAGGGUGACCAGUACCAGCUAAGGCGGCCUGCUCUCUGAACUAUUUGAGCUCCUUAGGGGAGGGGCAGCAGCCAGAACUGGGACGCUAACUGCUUAACACUCUAAGCUCCCUAGGUGGGGGAAGGGCAGCACCCAUUUCUAUAACUCCAG